ACUGGCCUCUUUCUUUAGCUCCGACUUUUAGAGCUGAAGAUCACCGACGUCAGGAUUUUUCAGAGCUCCCAGUUGUCUUGAAAGCACCAUAAGUUGAGAAACCUGCCUAUUUUUACAUUUUACUACCUUGUCGUUUUUUUUGGUAGUUUGUACCGUAUAUGUGGGGAAAUCCUGUGUUCAUCCCGCAUUGCCAAUAUACCGUAGAAGAAUAAUAUCAAUUCGGAAAUGCCCGAGUUUCCAAGUUCCGACUAGCACGUGAACGUGGCAUUGGGCCGCAUGUUCAGAAUAGAACUUUGAUUCCCAAGCUUUAGCACUGUGGGCAAAAUGGCUAAAAUAGAGUUGUUGGGAUUGAUUUUCAACAAGGGAUUUAGAGCAGUUCCUGAGCUUUUCCGAGCCGUUGAAAAAACAAUAAGACUACCAAGGAAAAGAUUGUCUAUCGAAAGAGAACAACCGUCUACAGAAGCUGCUUGAUAUCCUCCUUAAACCAGAGAUACAGUUACAUAGAGCAGACCGACAACAGCUCAAUGCCAUUGAAGAGGAGGUUC